rnacentral:rRNA from 1 species
AGUGAACGCUGGCGGUAGGCCUAACACAUGCAAGUCGAACGGCAGCACAGUAAGAGCUUGCUCUUACGGGUGGCGAGUGGCGGACGGGUGAGGAAUACAUCGGAAUCUACUUUUUCGUGGGGGAUAACGUAGGGAAACUUACGCUAAUACCGCAUACGACCUACGGGUGAAAGCAGGGGAUCUUCGGACCUUGCGCGAUUGAAUGAGCCGAUGUCGGAUUAGCUAGUUGGCGGGGUAAAGGCCCACCAAGGCGACGAUCCGUAGCUGGUCUGAGAGGAUGAUCAGCCACACUGGAAUUGAGACACGGUCCAGACUCCUACGGGAGGCAGCAGUGGGGAAUAUUGGACAAUGGGCGCAAGCCUGAUCCAGCCAUACCGCGUGGGUGAAGAAGGCCUUCGGGUUGUAAAGCCCUUCUGUUGGGAAGGAAAAGCAGCAGGUUAAUACCCCGCUGUUCUGACGGUACCCAAAGAAUAAGCACCGGCUAACUUCGUG